CCUACGGGGUGCAGCAGUGAGGAAUAUUGGUCAAUGGACGAGAGUCUGAACCAGCCAAGUAGCGUGAAGGAUGACUGCCCUAUGGGUUGUAAACUUCUUUUAUAUAGGAAUAAAAUGUUCCACGUGUGGGAUUUUGUAUGUACCAUAUGAAUAAGGAUCGGCUAACUCCGUGCCAGCAGCCGCGGUAAUACGGAGGAUCCGAGCGUUAUCCGGAUUUAUUGGGUUUAAAGGGAGCGUAGGUGGAUUGUUAAGUCAGUUGUGAAAGUUUGCGGCUCAACCGUAAAAUUGCAGUUGAAACUGGCAGUCUUGAGUACAGUAGAGGUGGGCGGAAUUCGUGGUGUAGCGGUGAAAUGCUUAGAUAUCACGAAGAACUCCGAUUGCGAAGGCAGUUCACUGGACUGCAACUGACACUGAGGCUCGAAAGUGUGGGUAUCAAACAGGAUUAGAUACCCGGGUAGUC
rnacentral:rRNA from 1 species